UCGUGGAGCGCGACGCCUGGCUGUGAAAUCGCGGGUUUCGUUUUUUUUGCCUGGCCCCGCCCCCGAGGACCCUGGGGCGGGGCUGCGGAACCGCUGAGGCUCACGGUGCUGCGAAAGGCCGCGUCAACAGCCCGCACUUCCGGCGGCUGGAGGACUAACUGCUCCGCCAGUGUCAGCGGAUCCCACUCGUUCCCCUGACCUUGCCCUAGCUGUCCCUGCCGCCGGGAACCCUCUUCCUCAGACCCCUCCUGGCCGGCUUGUGGAAGCGCGCGGAAGUUGUCUGGCAGAGGCCCUGAGUUGGGAUCUCCGCCCGCCUGGGGCGCGAGCCGUGAGGUGGGGCUCGGCCUCUCGCUGCUCCAGGCCUCUGCCGCUGGCGUCGCGGGCUUCUCGGCGCGGGUCGGAGCCUUGCGCUGGGGGAGGCUGCGCUCCUGAGGCGCAGAGGAUGGCCAGGACGGGUUGGAGCAGAGGCGCGGCGGGGAUUCGACUCUUGCUGCCUCUGGUCCCUACCUGCGGAACAAAUCCCGCACCGCAGCUCAGAGUGCCGAGGCCUGUGCGGAGCGCUUUCCUGAGACCUCGCGGCCGAGAGGGGCAGGCUCCCACCUUGUGGAGGGGAUGAACACCUUUCUUCAUCCACCGCGCACAGCCGUGCCUGACAGGGCCCCUUCUGCCAAGGGCUGGAACUCGACAGAGGUCGUCAGUUUGGCCCCUUUAUUGGAUGGUUCUAGAUUGGUUUGCCAGGUGACAGGAUCCAGCUCCAUUCCAGUAAUCUUGUCCCUAACCGAGAAUUUAUAAUCCCAGGACCUUCACCUCUGUCAACCUGUUUUCUUCUUUUCCUCCACAGAUUUUUUUUUUCCUUUCCUUCCUUGAGACAGUUGUUGGUUCUGGCAGUGUGGUGCAGGCUGGCCUCUGACCUCUAGAAUCAAGCGAUUCUCCUGUCUCAGCCUCCCCAGUACCAAGGGGACAGCAGGUGAUACACAGAAUAAAUGUGGGAAUUACAGAGUGUGUUCUUCCUCCUCUAGGGAAGAGCAUAGAUGCUGUGGUAACCCCCAUGUAUCCAUGGGUCAUCUGGGUGGAGUGAGACAACAAAUAGUUUGAAAAUGCUUAUCCUCUGCUAUCUCCUUCAAUUCCAAGAUGAAGGGUCACAGCUUUUCCUGGAAAGGUUUUCAGCCUGUUCUCCUGGGUUCCAGGAACAAGAAGUCUAGAAGUUGGCCAUCUAGGACCCUGCAAUACCACCAGGACUCUGUACAUCCCCUGUAUUUCCCAUUAGCUGUCUUACUGUGGCUCUCAUUGUUUCUGUCUGGCUUCAUGGAUACAAGAAGAAUGCUCCAUCACUAGAAUCACAUUCAUAUCCCAGGUAAAAUGAGAGAAGCAAAAAGAUUUGCUCAGUCAACUCCAGAUUAAAGAGCUUUUUCAGAACUA